rnacentral:lncRNA from 1 species
AAAUCAGUUUUUAUACGAACGGAUAAGUAAAUUGAAAUCACAACUUAUGAAAUCACAACCGAAGGUAAUCAAUUCAUAUUACAAAUAUAUUCAUGGCUUUGAAUUAACCUCUAGCCAAAAUAAAUUUAAUUACACAUUAUUAAAACAAAAAUAAAAUAGAAGUUUGAAAAGAUUUAACCGAGAGAAAUGGAGUGAAGCCUCUAAUUUUCUUCUCACUGUGCCCGUCAGUCUCCCUUCUCCCCGUGUCUAUCUCCUCUCCUGCCUCUGCGAGAUGACCUCCUGACCUCUCUCCCUCUCCACGUCUGCGAGCUUCACGCUUCCCUUCUCUCCGUAGCUUCACGCUGCCCAAAGGGCAGCCCUCUGCCUUCCACCAAUUCCCCUCCAACGUGUCUCCCUUUCCCUCUUUUUAUUUUUCCAUUUCCUGUCAUCCACGCCAGCUGCCAAAGGCAGCUUUCUGUUUUCCUCUCUGGCAGCCUUGCUGCCCUUUGACCUCUGUCCCCUGCGCCAGUCUCUCCAGCUAUAUUUUUAUUUCUUUCUUCCGCCCUCGUGCUUCUUGCUUUCCCCUCUAUUUCUUUCACUCUCUCACACGCUGCCAAGGCAGCUUUUUCCAAUCUGUCCCCGCGUCACUCCCUGCUCCGUUUCUGCCUGGCGUGCUUCAUGAUUUCCCCUCUGGCGCACUCUCACCUCUCCACUUCCUUGGAUUCUUUUCACUGUUUUUUUAUUUUUUUAAUUUCCUUUUUCUUAGCUGCCCCAGCAGCUCCCAAUCCUUUUCCCUAUUUUAUUCUUAUUCCCCUUCUUCUAUCACCCCCGUGUCUCACGCUACCAUGUCUCUCCGUUCCACCUUCCCAUAUUUUAUUUUCUUUCUCUGGCAGCCUCUUUUGAUUCUUCUUUAUUUUUUCCUUUUUUUAACCUGAUAGGUUAAACUUUGACGAAUGAAGAUGUGCAAGUGAGAAUAUAGUUAAUAAGGUAUAAACUGCAUGAGUCACUCAAAUCAAUAUGAAAAGGGAACAAAACCUAAUAUGCCAGCGAAUGGAUAGUCCCACAAAGAGAAUAUACUUAUUUAACAGGUCAGGACUUGAAAGACUUAUUCGCCACAUCACCAUAAAAUUUCACUUGUUCUAUUUUUAUUUUCUUUGCAUAACAAAUCCUAUAAACACAAAAAUAACGUAAAUAGCUCAAAAAUAUAAGGAACUAACUAAGAAAAGACGAGUGAAUUCGAAGUAAAAAUAUAUAUAAAUAUGAUCCGAUCAAUAUCCAUACCCUAAUGAUGUGAUUGAGAGUAUUGUAUUAGAGAAAGAUUGAAUUACAUUGUAAUUCCAACUGACUAGGUUAUCCGAAUAAACUUCUACAUUAGCUUGGGUAGCUAUGACAUAUGGUUAGAUGUCACUCAUAGCUUGU